rnacentral:tRNA from 1 species
CUCGCGAUAGCUCAGUUGGUAGAGCGGAGGACUGUAGUGGACAUUAUGAGAUAUCCUUAGGUCGCUGGUUCAAAUCCGGCUCGCGAGA